AAUAUGAAAUUUUAUUAAAGAAAAAGGGGUGAAAAGAACAAAGUUUUGUCCAUCUUUGUUCAUCAUAGCCUAAAGUUAGAGAAGAGAAAGGAGAGGAGAAAGCUCUUGAAUGUUCGGUCACUUGGGGAAGAAAAUUGAAGGAAAUCCCCAACCAUAGUGGGCUUGGAGCUGUGAGGGAAUUCGGAGUGGCCACCCGUUCUGAAAGUUUGAUUUUCUUCUGGUGAACUGGACAUCUUUUUAAUUACGUUUGAGGUUUUGGGCUUUUAAAUGUAAUAAGGCCGCUUAUUUAUUUUUGAUGGUUUUUAAUAUGUAUUACUAAGAUAGGUAAUACUUAUUUUAACUGUUGAAA